UACGAAGGGGGGCUAGCGUUGCUCGGAAUCACUGGGCGUAAAGGGCGCGUAGGCGGCCAUUCAAGUCGGGGGUGAAAGCCUGUGGCUCAACCACAGAAUUGCCUUCGAUACUGUUUGGCUUGAGUUUGGUAGAGGUUGGUGGAACUGCGAGUGUAGAGGUGAAAUUCGUAGAUAUUCGCAAGAACACCAGUGGCGAAGGCGGCCAACUGGACCAAUACUGACGCUGAGGAGCGAAAAGCGUGGGGAGCCGAACAGG
rnacentral:rRNA from 1 species